UACGCAUACACUGAAGUCAAGUUAAUUGUCACGAUAUAAAACAAGACAGCUACUUUAAGAAUCUACAAUUUCAAUCUGUACAGCAACAACACAACAACGAAGGAGAAUCAAUUUGCCUGCACAUCCACCGUUCAAGUACAGCAAAGCAAACAAGAUUGAACAUUUGGUUCUUCAGGUUCAGGUAGACAGGUAUACAGGGAC
rnacentral:lncRNA from 1 species